rnacentral:rRNA from 1 species
ACAGAGGGUGCAAACGUUGUUCGGAAUCACUGGGCAUAAAGCGCACGUAGGCGGCGAGUCAAGUGCAGGGUGAAAUCCCACGGCUUACCCGUGGAACUGCUUUGCAUACUGUCUUGCUCGAGUAUGGUAGGGGAGAGCGGAACUCUUGGUGGAGCGGUGAAAUGCGUAGAUAUCAAGAGGAACACCAAAGGCGAAGGCAGCUCUCUGGUCCAUGACUGACGCUGAGGUGCGAAAGCUAGGGUAGCGAACGGG